GAAUAGGUGUCUAUCUAUUAGACUUAAUAGGGAAUUCGGUAUAAGCCGAAGCGGUCCCGCCACUGUAAAGACGAGCAAUUUCACAUUUAUGUCAUUGGGAAUAUUCCUGAGAAGGCGUGAAUAGCGAUGACUCUGAGCCAGGAGAACUGCCUAUUUAAUA
rnacentral:ncRNA from 1 species